CAGCAGCCGCGGGAAUACGAGGGGGGCAAGCGUUGUUCGGAAUUAUUGGGCGUAAAGGGCGCGUAGGCGGUUUGGCAAGUUUGGUGUGAAAUCUUCGGGCUCAACUCGAAGUCUGCAUCGAAAACUGCCGGGCUUGAGUAUGGGAGAGGUGAGUGGAAUUUCCGGUGUAGCGGUGAAAUGCGUAGAUAUCGGAAGGAACACCUGUGGCGGAAGCGGCUCACUGGACCAUUACUGACGCUGAGGCGCGAAAGCUAGGGGAGCAAACAGGAUUAGAUACCCGGGUAGUCCCUGUCUCUUAUAC
rnacentral:rRNA from 1 species